rnacentral:lncRNA from 1 species
CUCAACCCUCCUGAAAGGAUGAUCCUCAGGUUGGUACAUCUUUUCUUAUCAUGGUGAGCUAUCCCCAAAGGCUUCAGUGGUCCCACCAUGCCCUAGUACCCAUGUUAAUCCUUUGUAAUCCAUUGGUCUUCCCCCUUGGUACCAUGUUGAGAAGGAUAAGGAUGUGACAGGAGGGUCUCACAGAUAUGUAUGCAUAACAGGAAGAUCUUUGCUUGUGUAGAAUCUGAAGAAGGUAUAGAAAUGAUAGCAAGUUUUGAUAUAGAAGAAGAUAAUUGCUGAGCCAGUUCUACUGGGUAACUAAGAGGGCAAAGAGCAAGUGAGUUGGAAGGGGCUUUUAUGACUUAGAGCAAAGGAUAAAUCCACCUCAAAUAAAAGAUGUUUUUACCAAGCAGAAGGAUUUUCACAGACAAACAAAAAUACCAUGUUGCAAGUAAAGAAAAGAUCUCAGAAUCUUCCACUGCAAGAAAACUGAAAAACAACUUCUAGCUUAAACAUACUAACUUUUGGUGAGUGGGAAAUAGUAACAUUAAUAUGGUAAUGUUAGUAGUUAGGAUAGGCUAUAGGUAAUAGUCAAGGUGUUGAUUGGUUGUUAUGUAAUAAGAUGCACAGCAGAGUGAGAAAUAUAACACUUUGUAACAUGAAUAGAACAUGAGCUUCAUGAUAGAUAGUUUGCCUAUAGAUGUCAGCUAUAAGCCCACCUAGGACCCGCAACUACUGUAACCUCGUCUAUGCAAUAAACAGCAUCUUGAGAGCUGUCUGAAGUCUCCAUCUCUCCAUCUGGCUCUUACAGUACUACCCUUGUUUUCCCCCAUAAACCCCCCAGUUUUUCCUCCAGUUCUCUAGGGAGCUGUUGUCCCUGGCUCCCUUCACAGAGCUGCUACAUAAUAAAGGAAUCGCCAUGUGUUGCUUCUGUCUCUCUGUCCCUGAGUUGGCCUGGGAAGCCUGGGCGCCGGCUGUCAGACGCGGCGAAAGCUGCGCAGGUCCGGCACUUGCCCCUCGCGGCGUCGAGAAGUGGCAAGUUGGUUUGGUUUGGUAUUUAUCUGGUAUUUAGUCCUUUUUGUUGUUUGUUGUAUGUGGUAUGCUUGAUUCUGUUAAACUGUCAAUAUCGAUUGUGGUUAUUGUUGUUUUGUAUAUUGCUGUUUAUUGGUUGAUACGAUUGCUCGUGGAAUCAGUGUUUAGGUGUCUGUAAGUUUUGCUGC